rnacentral:rRNA from 1 species
UGGGGAAUAUUGCACAAUGGGGGAAACCCUGAUGCAGCAACGCCGCGUGAGUGAUGACGGUCUUCGGAUUGUAAAGCUCUGUCUUUGGGGACGAUAAUGACGGUACCCAAGGAGGAAGCCACGGCUAACUACGUGCCAGCAGCCGCGGUAAUACGUAGGUGGGGAGCGUUAUCCGGAAUUAUUGGGCGUAAAGGGAGCGUAGGCGGAUAAUUAAGUGGGAUGUGAAAUACUCAAGCUCAACCUGAGGGCUGCAUUCCAAACUGAUUAUCUAGAGUGCAGGAGAGGAGAGUGGAAUUCCAAGUGUAGCGGUGAAAAGCGUAAAGAUUAGGAAGAACACCAGGGCGAGGGCGACUCUAUGGACUGGAACUGACGCUGAGGCUCGGAAGCGUGGGGAGCAAAAAG